UACGAAGGGGGCUAGCGUUGUUCGGAUUUACUGGGCGUAAAGCGCACGUAGGCGGAUUGUUAAGUCAGGGGUGAAAUCCCGGAGCUCAACUCCGGAACUGCCUUUGAUACUGGCAAUCUUGAGGCUGGAAGAGGUUAGUGGAAUUCCCAGUGUAGAGGUGAAAUUCGUAGAUAUUGGGAAGAACACCGGUGGCGAAGGCGGCUAUCUGGACCGACAUUGACGCUGAGGCGCGAAAGCGUGGGGAGCAAACAGG
rnacentral:rRNA from 1 species